UCCCUGGUGGCUCAGAGGUUAAAGCGUCUGCCAGCAAUGCAGGAGACCUAGGUUCAAUCCCUGGGUUGAGAA
rnacentral:tRNA from 1 species